rnacentral:rRNA from 1 species
UACGGGGGGGGCAAGCGUUGUUCGGAAUUACUGGGCGUAAAGGGCUCGUAGGUGGCCAACUAAGUCAGACGUGAAAUCCCUCGGCUUAACCGGGGAACUGCGUCUGAUACUGGAUGGCUUGAGUUCGGGAGAGGGAUGCGGAAUUCCAGGUGUAGCGGUGAAAUGCGUAGAUAUCUGGAGGAACACCGGUGGCGAAGGCGGCAUCCUGGACCGGCACUGACACUGAGGCACGAAAGCGUGGGGAGCAAACAGG